GACGAACCGUGCGAACGUUGUUCGGAAUCACUGGGCAUAAAGGGCGCGUAGGCGGGCCGUAAAGUCAGGGGUGAAAUCCUCCAGCUUAACUGGAGAACUGCCUUUGAUACUGACGGCCUCGAGUGGGGUAGGGGCGUGUGGAACUGAUGGUGGAGCGGUGAAAUGUGUUGAUAUCAUCAGGAACUCCGGUGGCGAAAGCGACACGCUGGACCUCUACUGACGCUGAGGCGCGAAAGCGUGGGGAGCAAACAGG
rnacentral:rRNA from 1 species